UACGGGGGGGGCAAGCGUUGUUCGGAAUUACUGGGCGUAAAGGGCUCGUAGGCGGCCAACUAAGUCCGACGUGAAAUCCCCAGGCUUAACCUGGGAACUGCGUCGGAUACUGGAUGGCUUGAAUCCGGGAGAGGGAUGCGGAAUUCCAGGUGUAGCGGUGAAAUGCGUAGAUAUCUGGAGGAACACCGGUGGCGAAGGCGGGUCUCUGGGCCGAUACUGACGCUGAGGAGCGAAAGCGUGGGGAGCGAACAGG
rnacentral:rRNA from 1 species